CUACUGUUGGUGAACGGGUUGGCGAGAAGUUUUUCCGACAACCAGUCAGACCAUUCAUUUUCUGGGAAAUAUUCCUGCCGCGCAACAGUCAGACAACACCGGAAUCACAAGGUCCGGCGCAGGAAAGUCUUGACGGCUAGAGGCCAAACGAUAGUGGACUAGGGCAACCAUUCAUCUAAUUAAUCGCUUCAGAUCUGGUCCAAGGAGACAUCUGGCGUCGAAACCCUUCAUGAGUUGUUCGAAAGGAACUGUCCGCCAACAAAAAUCGUUCAAUGUGCCAGUUCAAAAGUCUAAUUACAGGGAAAAUCGAUAAUGUGAACAUGAA